UGGGUGGCUCAGUUGGUUAAGUGACUGCCUUCGGCUCAGGUCAUGAUCCUGGAGUCCCGGGAUCGAGUCCCACAUCAGGCUUCCUGCUCAGCAGGGAGUCUGCUUCUCCCUCUGACCCUCCUCCCUCUCAUGCUCUCUGUCUCUCAUUCUCUCUCUCGCAAAUAAAUAAAAUCUUUAAAAAAAAAAAAAAAGGAAAAACCUCUUCGCAACGGGGUCAGUGAAAAUACUGGGUCCUCCAUGAAUCGAUCCUUGGGACCCUGACUAGCCAAGCUUAUGUCACAUGCCCAUAACAGAGGCAGUGAGGUCACCUCCUCCGACUAUACAGGCUGAAAACAAAGGAAGGGUGACUAACUGCCCAGGGAAAAUCUGGGUGAUUCAUUGAAAGGAGGAAAGGGAUGCUGGGUGGGUGAAGUCAACAGACAUUCACUACUUUACAGGUUCUCGAGACUGCUGACCCGCUCCUGUCUGGUCCUACCAUCACCCACUUCUACUCAAAUUUAUAAAAUGGCACAAAUGUACCUGGAAACAGCAAAUGAAAUGUGUCAAACAAAGGACGGUCCUCGCCUUAAGGAAGUCCAUUUCCUGACUGAGUUUCAAUAACCGGGAAUCCGGGGUCCAACUCCAUCAGAACCAGAAGGGAAGUCACUGAAUAUCCAUGUCAUCUGUUAUUAGGCAGAGAACACUGAGGCCCAGAAUGCUGAAAGGCUCUGAUGGGCACAACGCAGAACCUGGUUCUACUCAGUCUUGCCCACCCAGCCCAACUCUGUGACUCCUCUUCAAAUUAAUGACUUUGGUCACCAUUAAACUUUUGUUGUUUUUAAAAAGUCAAAGAA